rnacentral:rRNA from 1 species
CAGCAGCCGCGGGAAUACGUAGGGUGCGAGCGUUAAUCGGAAUUACUGGGCGUAAAGCGUGCGCAGGCGGUUCGUUAAGACAGAUGUGAAAUCCCCGGGCUUAACCUGGGAACUGCAUUUGUGACUGGCGAGCUAGAGUAUGGCAGAGGGGGGUAGAAUUCCACGUGUAGCAGUGAAAUGCGUAGAGAUGUGGAGGAAUACCGAUGGCGAAGGCAGCCCCCUGGGCCAAUACCGACGCUCAUGCACGAAAGCGUGGGGAGCAAACAGGAUUAGAUACCCCCGUAGUCCCUGUCUCUUAUAC